UACGUAGGGGCCUAGCGUUGUCCGGAAUUAUUGGGCGUAAAGCGCACGUAGGCGGCUUUGUAAGUCGGAUGUGAAAUCCCUCGGCUUAACCAAGGAGGUGCAUCCGAAACUACAGAGCUUGAGUACUUAAGAGGAUCGCGGAAUUCCCGGUGUAGAGGUGAAAUUCGUAGAUAUCGGGAGGAACACCAGUGGCGAAGGCGGCGAUCUGGGAAGAUACUGACGCUGAGGUGCGAAAGCGUGGGGAGCAAACAGG
rnacentral:rRNA from 1 species